AUUGAACGCUGGCGGCAGGCUUAACACAUGCAAGUCGAGCGGAGCGGCGGACGGGUGAGUAAUGCCUAGGAAUCUGCCUGGUAGUGGGGGAUAACGUCCGGAAACGGGCGCCGAUACCGCAUACUAUCAGAUGAGCCUAGGUCGGAUGAGCACGUGGGUGGGGUAAAGGCCUACGAAGGCGACGAUCCGUCACUGGUCUGAGAGGAUGAUCAGUCACACUGGAACUGAGACACGGUCCAGACUCCUACGGGAGGCAGCAGUGGGGAAGAUUGGACAAUGGGCGAAAGCCUGAUCCAGCCAGGCCGCGUGUGUGAAGAAGGGCUUCGGAGGGUAAAGCACUUUAAGUUGGGAGGCGUUACCAACAGAAUAAGCACCGGCUAACUACGUGCCAGCAGCCGCGGUAAUUC
rnacentral:rRNA from 1 species